GGGGCCGGCUACCCCCCCCCCCCCCCCCCCCCCCGCCCCGCGGGGCCGCCGGGAGCGGGCCCGCCGCCUCCCGCCGCAAGUUUCGCCCGGAGUGGGGAAAGUUGGUCGCGGCCCGGCGGGACCCGGCCAGAUUCUUGGAAAUCUGAGGAGCAGUCUUCAGCAGCCGAAGAAUGCAGUUCUCCCUGGAGGUGUGGGUAUGUCACAUGAAGGGGACUGACCGAAGUAGGAUCAGCUAGUAUCAAGAAACACAACUUCAAGACAUUCAGAAGUACUUUGGAGCAAACUGGCAGGAAGCCUUGCAAUACCAUGGUGGCAGUAAUGGUGGCCGUCCUCUGCAGAUGCUGAAGCUCAGCUUGAUUUUGAACUUCUUUCUUACACCUCCCAGCCUGUGCACAAAGGACUUAACAUUGAUUGGAAUUCAUGCGGUAUAAAAUAGUCAUGGGCAGGGGUGUUUUUUCUGCCUUUACUUGACAUCUGCAUGUUUCUGGCAAUCAGUGAUGAAGUCUGUACUAGGUCUGCUGACAUUUGGUCUGUUUUCGAGAGCUCUGAGUGACAGGUACUGUAAACAUCCUACACUCUCAGCUGUGGAAACUAAGAAAGCUGGGAGAAGGCUGUUUACUCUCCCUGCCUUGGAAGUCGUCCAGAGGACAAGGAUGGAAUAUUGUGAGCUCUGUGUUGAUUGUAUUUCUGACAACCUGUAUUUCAUAUUUUGCGUUAUGGUGUCAGUAAACAAAUAAUAGCAUUAUAUCAUGCCAUCAGUGUCUCAUGUUCUGACCGAGGUCAGAAGGGCCUUACAAUAUGCUUUAGCUGCACUGCUGGCUUGAGGGAAAUUUAAAUAGUAGCAGUAAUACAUUACAAUACUUUCAUCCUUAAGCAGUGAUUACAGCAGACCUGUUGCACUGUUUGUUUAUAAGUGGUGCUACAUACAAGUUACAGUGCAGACAUCCUCAGGUUGACACAUUAGUACUGUAUUUAAUCAAAAUCAUCCUUAAAUGUUUGGUUCUUGUUUUCUGAUUUACUCCGUUCUUGUUUCCUAUCCAAAAGGCCUAGAAAUAGAGGUGAGAAUUCAAAAAGGUUGUAGGGGACUUCAAAUUUCAGUUUCUUUUUGAAGAAAUUCAGAGUUGUCAACACUGAUUAACUCCAUCUCUAAAUUAACUGAAUUAAAGAUACAAAGGUAUUUCCUUUAUGUUUUCCACUUGCUGUUCCCUGACACUUGUUCCCCAGACUGUAUUAUUCUUUGUACUUUGUCCUGGCAGUCUUCCUCUUCCUCCUUGUGUUUCUUUCAUUCUAUUUGGUGUUAGACAAGUAGAGCUUCUCAUUUUAAAUGUAGAAUAAGCUGAAAAAAAAUAUUUCCGUUUAAAUCUAAUGCCUUGUUGACAUGAUCUUAAAUCCUCAUGAAUUAUAGUUUUGCAGAUCUUAAACAGUGACUUUGACAGGAAGAAUAUUCUCUUUUUUUCUUGUUUCUUAUUUAUGGAAGGGGACACUUCUUACGGUCUCUAAGAAAUUUUACAUAAUACAGUUGAACUCUCGAAGAUCACCUUCUAUGUCCUUUUGCAAUAGCAUUCUUAUGUCUUCAGAUCCUGCUGCUUCAGCUUUUUAGCAAACGCAUUUAAAUAGUAAAUCUUUGAAAUAAGGGCUGUUCUAAGAGUUUAAGUAUCAGGGUUUAGAAAGUGAUGGGAGUGGGAAGACAAUAGGAGAAUGGUAAAAGAUCGUGUAAGGAUUUGUAGUAGUACUUCUACAAAAUGGACAAAAAAGCUAAAAAAAAAAAAGUCAAGUUAUUUGAAGCAAUAAUUAUUUU